rnacentral:lncRNA from 1 species
UUUUUUUUUCUUAAGAAGAUAUGUUCCAAGUUAUACGUUAUCCUUUUUUUAUUAUGUCGAUUAUUGCAUUGCAUAUUACAUAACUUUUAAAGCAUCCCAAUUUCUUCUUUUUUUUUCAACCUGCAUAGAUCCCAAAGCAACCAUCAUAUGAUCUAAUGGUUGAUGUCACAAAAGAAAAUGAAUCAUUCUUUCGGAAAAAAG